rnacentral:rRNA from 1 species
AUGCAACGGCUCUCUCGCGACCCCGACCCCGUGCCCCUCCACCAGCCCCCACCGGCGGCGGCCACCCCGGCCCCGCCGGCCACCCUACCGGCGCCUCGUGUGCUCCCGCGCUCGCGGCCGCUACCCCCAGCCUGUAGGAUGCGGCAGGAGAACGGUGGCCGGCGGAGUGCGCAGGUCUCCCACUCACGCUCCCAGAAGGCUGCAGCGGCGACCACACCGGCUGCAGCGACGAGCUUCCCAGCUCCGUCACCCGCCGCGCCCGCCACCUUGGCCGGCGCCUCCUCCAACCAGCCGCCGGAGCCACCGGCGUCGAUCCCCAUCGCCCCUCCCCCGCUCGAUCCAGAUCAGGCGGAUCUGGAUCCCGUCUCUCGGUCGCCUCCGGCUGUCCGGAGCGAUGCUCCUGGCGAUGUGAUGGGGGUGCUGCUCGGGGCCAGGCCUGGCUCCCGGUGCUCCGCCGUCGAUGGCGAGGGGACUGUGGAGCUGGCCCAUCUGCCGCCGGCCAUCGUUCCCUACACCAUGAAGCGCUUGCCUUGUUGCUCUGUUCUCAAGGAUGUGGGCAAACAUCCGCCCGAUCUGGUGAUGUCGGUAGUGCCACCGCCGCCCCUCUGGAGCUCCGCUGGCGAGGAGGAGGACGACGACGACGACGGAGAGGAGGAGCUUGCUCCACGGUCGCCGCCGGCUGCCUCCCAGUAUUCCCUGUGCUCUGUUGACGCCAAUGUUGCUCAUGCGGGGCCGUGGGCAUCUCUGGUCGAUGUAGAUGGCCAGGGUUCAGGCAAGGAUCGUGACAACAGCGAUUCUGGCAAAGGGGACCUGGCGCCACCGAAGACGGCAACGUCUGUUGUCGAAGGCUCAUGCUCUGGUGCGGUCGGUGCGUCGACUGCUUGCUUGUAUCCUUGCGAUCAGGCGGAAGCUGUGGUCACACAACCCGGGGAUGGUUCCUGGAUUUACGUCGGACGAAGGCGUCGUCCCCGUUGUCAUGUGCCUUGCAGCAAGUCUUCCACGUCCCCGACCUUUCAUGAUGCGAGGUCUGUGCAAGCCGACACAUUCAAGAGGAGAACCCGUGGUCGAUGUUUCCGUUGCUUGGCUCCGGACCACAAGGUUGCGUCCUGCCGCGACCCGUUUCGAUGCCUCACUUGUCUUCGCUCUGGACACCGUGAGAGGGACUGUUCUCUGCGUCACUCCUCCGUCAAAGCUAUUCGCCACUGUGUGCGUGACCCCCCAGCUCCGCCUUGCCCUUCCUCAGAUGGGCGCUCUUGGGCUUCGGUUGUUGCUCCCGCAGUGUGUGUGCAAGCUCCUGAGUCUGCAAGGAUUGUUGAAGCUCCAAGCGAAGGUUCUGUUGAUCGGGGUGUUGCGACAUCUGAUGAUGCUAUGCUUGUCUCGUUUCGUGCGGAGCUGCAAAGCUUGGUUGAGUUUGCGCUCCGCCCGCUGCGCAAGCUGGAGGACUCUUUGUGCCUGUGGUUGGCACGUGCGUCCGACCUCUUGGAGCAGGCGGAGGUGUCUGAUGGUGAGCGUGGGUUGAGCCCAGCCUCCUUGCAGGGACCUUGCUCCUUAGGCACUUCCGUUCAUGGUUUGACGCUACCAAAAGAUGGGAGCAAAGGUGUUGAUGACAUUGGCGACAAGGUUGGGUUGGCGCCCUCAAGGUAUGUUGCUGACGUGGAGUCUACAGGGCAGCAUGCGUCGGUCAAGUCUAUGGCCUUGUAUGACAAGGUGGCCACCGAGCUUAGCCUUCCUACUUCUGCCUCCAAUGAGGUGUGGGGCGUUGCAAAGGGAUGCGCAUCGGCAUUUGAGGGCCAAAACACUUUACACGUCUUCAUCGAGCUGGUCAAAAGCCUUUCUGCCGUGCCUGCAAUCACCCAAGGGCUGAUUCACCUUGUCAAUGCAGCGAAGAUCAAGAAUGUCAACCAACUGGCAGGCGUCGCCUCGGGCGUGGGGACUGCAUGUCAUGAUGUUAGCCAUUAG